UUCUUCAGGAGGAUAUCUGGUUUUGGAGUGAUGGAUCAGAGUUUGAGUACAGUGACUGGCAUACUGGUGAACCAAAUAAUGGAGGAGGAAAUGAACGUUGUGUGGAAAUGGGCUAUGGAGGUGAGAAACGCUGGAAUGACGCACACUGCGAUACUCUUCUCAAUUUCAUCUGUUACAGAACAGCAAGAAUUGAUUUCUAAUCCUAAUUUUGAU